AAAGCCCACGAGGUGUUGCGUGUGUGGCUGCUAUGUCACAUGUACACCAGUAGGUGGCAGAGAGGAGAGAGGCUAUGUUUACAUUCAAUGUUCUGACCUAUGAAGAUCUAAAUGAUUAGUAGCCUAACAAU
ensembl:snoRNA LOC120101309 small nucleolar RNA SNORA17